UGGGGAAUUUUGCGCAAUGGGCGAAAGCCUGACGCAGCAACGCCGCGUGAGUGAUGAAGGCUUUCGGGUCGUAAAGCUCUGUCAAGGGGAAAGAAGUGUAUUGUGGUUAAUACCCAUGAUGCUUGACGGUACCCCUAAAGGAAGCACCGGCUAACUCCGUGCCAGCAGCCGCGGUAAUACGGGGGGUGCAAGCGUUGUUCGGAAUUACUGGGCGUAAAGGGUGUGUAGGUGGCUGAUUAAGUUAAGGAUGAAAUCCCGAGGCUCAACUUCGGAACUGUCCUUGAUACUGGUCAGCUUGAGGCUAGUAAAGGAGAGCGGAAUUCCCGGUGGAGCGGUGAAAUGCGUAGAUAUCGGGAGGAAUACCGAAGGCGAAGGCAGUCUUCUAAGCCGUUAUUGACGCUAAACUGCGAAGGUGUGGGUAUCAAACA
rnacentral:rRNA from 1 species